GGUCAGGACGAACGCUGGCGGCGUGCCUAACACAUGCAAGUCGAGCGAGGAGAUCCUUCGGGAUGAUCCUAGCGGCGGACGGGUGAGUAACACGUGGGCAACCUGCCUCAUAGAGAGGAAUAGCCUUCCGAAAGGGAGAUUAAUACCUCAUAACAUUGCAGUUUCGCAUGGAACAGCAAUUAAAGGAGCAAUCCACUAUGAGAUGGGCCCGCGGCGCAUUAGCUAGUUGGUGAGGUAACGGCUCACCAAGGCGACGAUGCGUAGCCGACCUGAGAGGGUGAUCGGCCACAUUGGGACUGAGACACGGCCCAGACUCCUACGGGAGGCAGCAGUGGGGAAUAUUGCACAAUGGGGGAAACCCUGAUGCAAGCAACGCCGCGUGAGUGAUGACGGCCUUCGGGUUGUAAAGCUCUGUCUUCAGGGACGAUAAUGACGGUACCUGAGGAGGAAGCCACGGCUAACUACGUGCCAGCAGCCGC
rnacentral:rRNA from 1 species